rnacentral:misc_RNA from 1 species
UCUCCGUAGGUGAACCUGCGGAGGGAUCAUUACAGAGUUCAUGCACUACCGGGUAGAUCUCCCACCCUAUGUUAUCAUUACUUUGUUGCUUUGGCGGGCCGUUAGGCUCCGGCACGACUACCGGCCCCGGCUGGUAAGCGCCCGCCAGAGGACCCAAAACCCUGAAUAUUAGUGUCGUCUGAGUACUAUAGAAUAGUUAAAACUUUCAACAACGGAUCUCUUGGUUCUG